rnacentral:rRNA from 1 species
UACGAAGGGGGCUAGCGUUGCUCGGAAUUACUGGGCGUAAAGGGCGCGUAGGCGGCCGAUCAAGUCAGAUGUGAAAGUCCUGGGCUUAACCUGGGGACUGCAUUUGAUACUGAUUGGCUUGAAUGCAGGAGAGGAUAGCGGAAUUCCCAGUGUAGAGGUGAAAUUCGUAGAUAUUGGGAAGAACACCGGUGGCGAAGGCGGCUAUCUGGACUGUGAUUGACGCUGAGGCGCGAAAGCGUGGGGAGCAAACAGG